AACGAACGUGUAGCGGCGCGCCUAACACAUGSMAGUCSCACGAGAAAGGGSUUCCGCCCCGGUACAGUGGSGCACGGGUGAGUAACACGUGGGUAAUCUGSCUUCSAGUUGGGGAUAACAUUCCGAAAGGRGUGGUAAUACCGAAUAAGACCMCGCCCUCSAAAGAGGAAGCGGKCAAAGCUGCCCUCUAUAUAUAAGGGAGCGSUUGAAAAUGAGCCCGCGGAGCAUCAGCUAGUUGGKGAGGKAAUGGCUCACCAAGGSUUAGACGCUUAGCUGGUCUGAGAGGAUGAUCAGCCMCACUGGAACUGAGACACGGUCCAGACUCCUACGGGAGGSAGCAGUGGGGAAUCUUGCGCAAUGGGCGAAAGCCUGACGCAGCGACGCCGCGUGAGUGAUGAAGGGCUUCGGGUUGUAAAGCUCUGUGGGGAGAGAAGAAUAAGUGCAGGSUAAUACCCUGSAUGAUGACGGUAUCUCCUUAGCAAGCACCGGGCUAACUCUGUG
rnacentral:rRNA from 1 species